ensembl:lncRNA
CCGUCUCAGAUGCUGUUUUUCUGUUGCGACCGGAAGCUGUACACUGGACACUUUCUCUGCCCUUCUGCAACUCUUUUCUUCUUUAGUCCAGUGUAGCAACUCGUCUGCUAACUGUAGCCCUGUAGCUCUAGCUGUGCAGCUGUGCAGCUGAAGCCGUAGCAGUGUAGCUUUAGCUCUUGAGCUGUGUAGCUGUAGCCGUGUAGCUUUAGCUCUGGAGCUGUGUAGCUUUAGCUGUAGCUCUGUAGCCUCUGCUCCGUUUGUUUGUCUGUACAAGACUGGUCACGCACCUCAAUGUGUGGCGCAACGAGCAGAGCGCGCACAAGCAGGAAAAAAAAGCGGUUCAUCCAAUCAUUUUCUUGGACCGAACUUUCUGAUUGGACGAGGCUUUUACAGUCGUGCUAAUGGCCACAUAUGACUUCUUUCCCCCCGUUUCAAUGUCAGAUCAUUUACUUUAUUAAUCUCUAUCGAUAUGUCACGAGCGUUUCAAGUUACAUGACGGAAAGAGCUUCUCAUCAAAAUCGCCUACCCUCUCUUUAACCACCUGAGUGGUAAUUAGCAUAUGAACGGACUUUCGCCUGCUGCUAGCUAACGCAGCUGCGCGUAGUAGCUUCGUGAGGACUGUAGGCUGCUGCUAGCUUACCUAGCUUGAUUCGUGGCCUCACCUGGAGCUGCUGACCCGCAAACGAGGGACAACAACCAGUUAGCAAUCUGAGCUACCGACCCGGGAAUCCGAGUUGCUCAUGGCAACGCUGGAUAUAACAUCCAAACUCCGUGGAGACGCCCACCUGCUGCUUCCCUGCUCAUGGACAGAACGUGUUGGACUGGUCGUCUUUCCAGGAGAACAACAUAUCACUUAAAAAAGGUUGUGCAGCAAGCCGGGCCCUCUGUGGAGAGCAGGAAGCCGGACUGGCAGUUUCGGAGCCUGUUGUCUACAAGCCAAGGCGAGUGGGUUUUUCAAUGUCUGCCCAUGAGAAGGUGGUCUCUUUCUCCCGACUAUGAGCCAGAGUCAAACUGACAGCCAUGAUCAAGAGACCCAGGGGGAACUCGCAGAGUCUGAAAAACCUUGAGUGCAUGGGGGCGCACAGCGUGAAAACCAGCACCCACUGGAUGAGCAUAAUAACACACAUUGUGCUCAAUGGUCCCCUUCAUAUGGGAAAUAAUUAAGCUGUGUGGCACAAAAGAGUGCCUGGGAAAGAGUUGUUGGCUUAUGUGUCUUUUGGGAGGUUUGGUUAACCACCGUCCAGAGAACCUUAAAGAAUCCAAGUUUUGUCACUAAGCAAAAACCGAGCUCCAUCACCAUGAUUACAGAUGUACACAGUCAUUUGUUGUUGCCUCCCGCAUGUUUUAUGGAUGGUGAUGGUGAAAUAUGUUGUUCAUCAUUGUGGAUUUAACUUAUUUUUUCGAGAUGUCAGAUGGAUAGUUCCAAAACAUCAUUUUAAUGCCCCGAAAACUUGUCAUUAUUCACUGCAUUGCCACCGCACAUGCAAUGAUACCGUAUAGUGCAGAGUUCAUAAUUGCUACUGUGGCAUUGUUCCUUUGUCAGAUCCCACAAAAAUGUACAUUUUGCCGGCGGGGAGGGGAGCCCUAUUUUUUCCACGACUAUCCCAGUAAAUCCACAUCUAGUUUGAUCUGAAAAUUAGAAACUUGUGACAUGUCUCUCUCUUGGCUGUGUGAUUAGCGGUGGUCGAACAAAGACAUGUUUUAUUUUCUAAACGUCAUUGAGAAGCAGCAUCGUGUUGACUCCGGGGGCAGCUAAAUGAAGCAACCUAUGGUUGAGCUGGUUUGGUGUAAUGGAAAACACACUGUUCAUUUGCAUUCUUGUGGCUGGGAAGAGGCUCGCUUCCCAGAGGUUAACCUCUCUCUGUCUUCUCUUUUUGUCUGGUGUGCGCCAUUUACAUGAAUUAUGGUGGACAAGUCAGAUUUAACAUCUCCCACUUUCUUCUCACCCCGAGAACUCCUUUAGGAUGUUUUCAACCACAGCGCCAUGGGGGAAUGUCUCAACCAUUAGUUAGAUGUUGAGAAAUUGGGUUUUUUAAAGUGCUGUGGGGAGCUUGUUUUUUUGCGUUUUGGUCUAAUGGCUUUCCAUAAAACAUGUUUUAGAUUUAAGUUUUAACUGUACAUGUGAGCCCUGUGGGUUAAAAUAGCCAUCAGAUGCUUAUUUAUUUAAAAAAAUUUAAAUCAUUGAAAUAAUAAAAGAUGUUCACUAGGCCUGAUUUAGUUGAACCAUUUCUACAUGUGAUAAAGUAUACAGUUAACCUGGUAGUUUUGAUCCAUCCGUCUUUGACAUUUUUGCCUCUGCUCCCCAGUACAAGGAAGGUGAUUUCAAAUUUGUUUGCAGUGAUGAAAUCUUUGGAAAAUUCAUCAGAAACGUAACAAGUAUAACAUAAACUAGUUUUAGUGAAAAACGUUGACUGUUCUGUUUAAUUAUCCAGAAUUACUGGAACGCUGACAAUUUCUGUUUCAACAGCAAUUUGGUGUCUGAUCAAAUACAUGUACCUGCAAAAUAAAUCACAUUUCCUUCACCCUCAACUGUUCUUUGCAUGUGGUGCUAAUUAGCAAAUGUUAGCAUGCAAAAAUGCUAAACUAAGAUGUUGCUUGGAUGGAAAACAUUUUACCUGCUAAAGAUGAUUGUGUUAACAUUGUCAAUAUGUGCAUGCUAGCAUGCUAACAUUCACAUUUAAUAGCCUAACAGAUCUGCUAGCAUAGCUGUAGAGUCUGUAGAUACAUAUUGUUGUUGUUUUUUAUGUAUUUUGGGAUAUUUUUGAGCUUUUGAAUGACUUUAAAAUUAGGUGCUUUUAGAAAGUAGAUGUAGCUUCACUCUGUCAUCACAUGGAAGUUGUAGAUGUGUAACGUUUUCUACACCUUCCCUGCAAUUCAGCCUGACAUUUUUGGUGUUUACUGCUAACUUUAUUUAAAAACCGAGGGUCUACAUCGUAUCCCAUGUCCUUAUUCUUUUCCUCUCGCCGCCUGGCACUUCCUCACAACAAGUGAUGGAUUUUCACCAAAUGCCCGGCAAGAACUGACAGCUGGUCCCUUUAUCCCCUCAGAAGCCCGACUAACCACAGAGCCGUAAUCAUUUCUGACUGAGCAAUAUCUGUGUGGUGUGCAAGGCAAGGUGUCCUGGCUGUGUUAUGACAACGAUAUUAAAGGAAUCUGUCUUCAUCUUUAUCUUUGGGGAGUUUUUUCAUUUUAAUCCCCGUCCGAAGAAGUAUCACUUUCCCUGUGUUCUCUUCCUCUUAUAUGAUAUUGAAGGAUGAGAACAUUGGCACACUCAUAAACUAGAAAUGGAAGAAAAUCUGGUUAUUUGUAUGAAACAUUGCAGUGUUUCCAGAGCACUGAGUGCCAUUCUAGUUUGCACUUGGAGUCUGAAAGUUUAAAAAAUAAAUUAGUGAUUUAAAUAAGUUUGGGCUCGAUCAACACUGCAUCUGAAAGUAACAUUGAGCUUAUACAUAUAUUAACA